rnacentral:rRNA from 1 species
GAGGAAUAUUGGACAAUGGAUGGAAAUCUGAUCCAGCCAUGCCGCGUGCAGGAAGACGGCCCUAUGGGUUGUAAACUGCUUUUGUAUGGGAGCAAUAAGGGCUACGUGUAGCCUGAUGAGAGUACCAUACGAAUAAGGACCGGCUAACUCCGUGCCAGCAGCCGCGGUAAUACGGAGGGUCCGAGCGUUAUCCGGAUUUAUUGGGUUUAAAGGGUGCGUAGGCGGUUUUAUAAGUCAGCGGUGAAAUUUUCCGGCUCAACCGGGAUACUGCCGUGGAUACUGUAAGGCUAGGAUAUGGUUGCUGUGGGUGGAAUGUGUGGUGUAGCGGUGAAAUGCUUAGAGAUCACACAGAAUAUCGAUUGCGAAGGCAGCUCACAAAGCCAUUAUUGGCGCUGAGGCACGAAAGUGUGGGGAUCAAAC